rnacentral:lncRNA from 1 species
CAUGAACACUCCCUACUUUGAGUUUGUACCAAUGUCUAGCUUUUCCUGUUAAAGAGAACGGAAAGAGCUUCCAUUUAAGGGUCUCAUCGGACAUGCCUUCAAUGCGAAGGAGGUCACAGACUCGAUACAACUCUCUUAGGUAUGUGUAUGGGUUUUCCUCACCUUCUCCUGAGAAAGGUUGUUUUUGAACAAAUUCUAUGUAUCCAGGGUCUAUCUCAAAACUAAAUGUUAUGAUAGGCUUUGAAGAUUUUGGUCGUUCGAGAUGUGUGCCCAUAGGUCUAUGAAACUGAUAGAUAGACAUGUUUGUAUUCAUGAUAGACAAGAAAUCAAGGAUUAGAUAAGAAGAAAGAAUAGCAGAGAUAAGGCAAAGGAUAAAAGGAAAAGUAUAUUUUUUUAUUAUUUUUUUGAAAAUGAUUAAGGUAGUUCGUAGUCAACUCAGCAACCGUCUCCCCGGCAACGGCACCAAAAAUGCUUGUUGACACUUGCUAACACCACUUGAAUACUAGGUUGUCAUCCCCAGCAUGGCACUAGAGUGUACUAUGGUAUUUAUACGCACACAGAUAAAUCCGCAAGCGCACGGAUACCGUUGUAGCUUUUACCCCGGUUAAAGGUUUUAUCGUAUCCACAGGGAAACGGGAGAACUGAUCUACGCUCUAACUUAACCUAGAUAGAUAGGUAGGUGUAAAUAGGAAAGAUGGUAGAAUUGAAUAAGAACAAUAUUAAAGGUAAGAUAACAAUGGGGGAUAAUAUGGGAAUAGAGAGUAGAACAAUCUAGUAUAUGAGCGAUGGUAGGAGAAUAGAGAGGAUAAGUAUGGUUUCACUACUUCAAAGGGGUAUGUCUAUGUCUGGGAUGAACCACGUGAUAACAAUACACCACAAAGGAUGCUUAUCCAUAGGCCGAUAAACCCUACCCGUCCUGCUAACAGGAGGUGGACUACAGGGGACCAACGUAACUGUCACCUACGCGGCCUACCACACGAUCCAGCUAGAUAGGGGAUAUCCACAAGUAAUCUAGGUCUAAGCACCAUGCUUACACCCAUACUACAACUCUCACCUAUAGCGUCCUAUAGAUUAAAGUACUCAAAAGAGUUGUGAACCAGAACAUACAUAGAUAGUAAUUGCAUAAUGAAUUAGAAGUAGAUUACUAGAGUCAUCCCAUGAGCAAGCUUGAUUAGAGCUUGAUCAUGGCGAAGUACAACCGGAGGAAGAACCGACAGGCCGGCCUCUCCUCUAAUCCUCCCUCGCUCUCCAUCUUGCUACUAUCU